CCAGCACCUGCGGUAAUUCCAGCUCCAAUAGCGUAUACUAAAGUUGCUGCAGUUAAAAAGCUCGUAGUCGAAUUGGAUCAUAGAGAGGAGAGUCGCGCGCACUCCCUCUGGUUGAGUGGACGCGCGCGCUCUUUCUGUGAUCAACCUUUCUGGGAGGGUCUCUGAAGAGGAUGCCUCUGUAUUCAGACCCCUCUUGGAUGUAUUUUACUGUGAACAAAAUAGAGUGUUCAUGGCAGGCCUUUUGAAUUAGGCUUAGAUACCAUAGCAUGGAAUAAUAGAAUAGGACUUCCGGUUCUGUUUUGUUGGUUUUUGGAGCCGAGGUAAUGAUUAACAGGGAUAGUUGGGGGCACCCGUACUCCGUUGUCAGAGGUGAAAUUCAUGGAUUAACGGAAGACGAACAACUGCGAAAGCAUCUGCCAAGGAUGUUUUCAUUGAUCAAGAACGAAAGU
rnacentral:rRNA from 1 species